rnacentral:rRNA from 1 species
GUCCACGCUGUAAACGAUGAACGCUAGGUGUCGCGGGUAUUGACCCCUGCGGUGCCGCAGGGAAACCAUUAAGCGUUCCGCCUGGGGAGUACGGCCGCAAGGCUAAAACUCAAAGGAAUUGACGGGGGCCCGCACAAGCGGUGGAGUAUGUGGUUCAAUUCGACGCAACGCGAAGAACCUUACCUGGGUUGGAAACCCCCCCGACCCGCCGGAACGGUAGGGGUGGCCCUUCGGGAGGCGAGGUGUCCAGGUGCUGCAUGGCUGUCGU